UUGGCUCAGAAGCAGCCACCAUUUAAAGAGUGCGUAAUAGCUCACUGGUCGAGAGGCCCCGCGCCGAAGAUUCCCGGGGCUAAAGUACGGAACCGAAGCUAUGGAUGCGGUGUAAGCCGCGUGGUAGAGGAGCGUUCUCAUCGGGCAGAAGCAGUGCUGUAAGGCGUUGUGGACGGAUGAGAAGUGAGAAUGUUGGCAUGAGUAGCGAAAAGGACGGUGCGAAUCCGUCCCACCGAAAGCAUAAGGAUUCCUGAGCAACGAUCGUCGUCUCAGGGUAAGUCGGGACCUAAUCCGAGGCAAGAGGCGUAGGAGAUGGACAUCCGGUUGAGAAUCCGGAACCGGCAGAGGUUGUUUGAGCAAUGGAGUGACACAGGCAGGCAGGCGCGCGCGGGAUUGGAAGUCCGUGUGCAAGCGUGUGGCGCGGGGGACAGGCAAAUCCGUCCCCCAGGAGCGUGAGGCGUGACGCGGAGCUUUCCGUGAGGAAAGCGAAGGGGCUGAGCCUAUACUGUCGAGAAAAGCUUCUAGUGAGACCGAUGCCGCCCGUACCGUAAACCGACACAGGUAUGUGGGGAGAGGAUCCUAAGGUGCGCGGGAGAACCCUCGUUAAGGAACUCGGCAAAAUGUACCCGUAACUUCGGGAUAAGGGUAGCCGCGUGUUGUGAAGUAUGUCCAUAUGGAGCAGAGCGCGGCCGCAGAGAAGAGGCCCAAGCGACUGUUUACCAAAAACUUAGGUGCCUGCCAAAGCGAAAGCUGACGUAUAGGUGCUGACACCUGCCCAGUGCCGGAAGGUUAAGGAAGGAGGUUCGGAGCGAUCCAACGCCUUCGACCGAAGCCCCGGUGAACGGCGGCCGUAACUAUAACGGUCCUAAGGUAGCGAAAUUCCUUGUCGGGUAAGUUCCGACCCGCACGAAAGGUGUAACGAUUUGGGCGCUGUCUCAACGAGGGACCCGGUGAAAUUGAAAUACCUGUGAAGAUGCAGGUUACCCGCGACUGGACAGAAAGACCCCAUGGAGCUUUACUGUAACUUGACAUUGGGUUCUGAUAUGGCACGCACAGGAUAGGUGGGAGGCACGGAAGUGAGCGCUUUGGUGUUCACGGAGCCGCCGUUGGGAUACCACCCUUGCGGUAUCGGAAUUCUAACCGUACACGUAACGAGUGUCGGGACCGUGUCAGGCGGGCAGUUUGACUGGGGCGGUCGCCUCCGAAAGCGUAACGGAGGCGCCCAAAGGUUCCCUCAGCGCGGCCGGAAAUCGCGCGUAGAGCGUAAAGGCAGAAGGGAGCUUGACUGCGAGUCUUACAAGACGAGCAGGUACGAAAGUAGGGCUUAGUGAUCCGGUGGCAUCCAAGUGGAAGGGCCAUCGCUCAACGGAUAAAAGCUACCCUGGGGAUAACAGGCUAAUCUCUCCCAAGAGUCCAUAUCGACGGGGAGGUUUGGCACCUCGAUGUCGGCUCAUCACAUCCUGGGGCUGAAGUCGGUCCCAAGGGUUGGGCUGUUCGCCCAUUAAAGUGGUACGUGAGCUGGGUUCAGAACGUCGUGAGACAGUUCGGUCCCUAUCCAUCGCGGGCGUAAGAGAUUUGCAGGGAUCUGCUCCUAGUACGAGAGGACCGGAGUGGACGGAUCAAUGGUGUACCAAUUAUGCCGCCAGGCGUAUCGUUGGGUAGCUACAUCCGGAGAGGAUAAACGCUGAAAGCAUCUAAGCGUGAAACCGACCCUAAGAUGAGAUCUCUCAUAACAUAAGUUAGUAAGACUCCUUGUAGAAGACGAGGUUGAUAGGCCGGGAGUGUAAGUAUAGUAAUGUAUUGAGCGGACCGGUACUAAUCAGUCGAGGGCUUGAUUUC
rnacentral:rRNA from 1 species